GAGUUUGAUCAUGGCUCAGAACAAACGCUGGCGGCGUGUCUUAAGCAUGCAAGUUGAGCGGCAAGGGGGAGCGAUCUCCCCUAGAGCGGCGGACUGGUGAGUAACGCGUGGGUAAUCUGCCUUUGGCAUGGGGAUAGCCACUAGAAAUAGUGGGUAAUACCGGAUACGUUCCACGAGGGGAGGACUUGUGGAAGAAAGGCGCUAUGGCGCCGGCCGAAGAUGAGCUCGCGUCCCAUUAGCUAGUUGGUGAGGUAAGGGCCCACCAAGGCGAUGAUGGGUAGCCGGCCUGAGAGGGUGUACGGCCACACUGGGACUGAGAUACGGCCCAGACUCCUACGGGAGGCAGCAGCUAAGAAUAUUCCGCAAUGGACGAAAGUCUGACGGAGCGACGCCGCGUGGAUGAAGAAGGCCGAAAGGUUGUAAAGUUCUUUUGCUGGGGAAGAAUAAGUGUGGGAGGGAAUGCCCGCACGAUGACAUGAACC
rnacentral:rRNA from 1 species